AAGCGGUUUCGGCAUACCCUUCGGAAGAGAUCAGAUCUGGGAUGGGACGAAGGAGGAAGAGGGUGAAAUGGAGGCUGUCGGUCCGCCCCGCCCCGGGCCGAUUCCCUUGCUGGCGCCAGUAGGUGGCGUAGGCUAAAAUCGCGGGGUGGAAUCAUGGGGAACGAUCGGAUCGGAUGUGCCCGCGUCGUCUGCGACGGUGGGGAUGUGUUCAUGACAUGUGGCCAUACCCCGUUGAUGUAUGCGCGUAAUAAGGUCAUUUGGUCACGUCGGCAUAACAUCGAUAACACCGACAAGCGGGUUGAUUAAGCUCCACGGGUGAGUUUCGACAUGAAAAUUAAUUUGAUGAAUGAAAAUUGAUUUGAUAAAUCAUUAUUUCGCAUCUUUAAAUUUGAUGCAUGAUUUCACGACCACAAUAAUGAUACUCGUCGCCUGCCUCGUCGAAACCCUCGUAGCCCUAACCGGACCCCAACCGCCGAUGGCCCACGUUUUGGAUCAUCGAGCUGUAGGGAUGGCGGCAACUUGAUCAGUUGUCUUUUUCGCCGCCUUCUUAAGGCCCCCAACGGUAGAUGGUCCACGUUUUGGAUCAUCAAGCUGUAGCGAUGGCGACUACUUAAUCAGGUGAGGUGCGUCCUCUCUUCCCAAUCUUGAUGUGGAUCUGGUUGUGUUUUCUCGAGUUCUUUAUGGUUGUUGGGGCUGUUCUUGAGUUCUUGUGUUUUCGCCGCCCUCUAAGGGCCCCCAACCGGAUCCCAACCAUAUGUAGCGAUGGCGGCUACUUGAUCAGGUGCAUUCUCUCUUCCCAAUCUUGUGUGGAUCUGGUUGUGUUUUCUUAGGUUCUUUAUGGUGCUGAGAUGUUAUUGAGGCUGUUAUCUAAGGAAGUGGCGGUUGCCAUGAAAUGCAUAAUUAAUGAUCAUUUGCUCUUGUUUACAUCAGCCAAAGCGAGUGUAACCUACUACGCCAUGCCGGUGAGUACCAAAUUAUGCCUCGACUGUCACCAAGAUAUUGGUAUAUUAUGUGGAUUUAUGCCAGCUUAUCAUGUCUUGUGUAUGCAUCUUUACAGAGUCCGUGCAACAAAAUAUAGACUGCUACUAGAGAAACAAAUGAGAGCUUUGGAGUAAUGUUGGAAUUUGGAAGAAGAUACUAUAUUCAUUUAUGAAUAUAUAUUAUUUAUUAAUGUAAAAUGAUAACUGAAGUUUAUUCCACA